GACGAACCACACGACCGUUAUUCGGAAUUACUGGGCUUAAAGGGUGCGUAGGCGGCGUAGUAAGUUGGGUGUGAAAUCCCUCGGCUCAACCGAGGAACUGCGCCCAAAACUACUAUGCUUGAGGAAGAUAGAGGUAAGCGGAACUUACGGUGGAGCGGUGAAAUGCGUUGAUAUCGUAAGGAACACCUGUGGCGAAAGCGGCUUACUGGGUCUUUUCUGACGCUGAUGCACGAAAGCCAGGGGAGCAAACGGG
rnacentral:rRNA from 1 species